GUAUCGUGGUCAAUCGAAAUUCACUCACAUUUUAUUCGUAUUGAUUAUUACUCGUUUUUAAAUAUGUUAUUUCAGAUACGUUUCAGAAAGGACUCGCAAAAUUAAAAAAAUCCGAAAUCUUCACUAACAUUAAUAUAGAUAUCGAUGAAAUAACUGGGAGAAAGAAGAGAAAAAGAAUCCAAAAAGGAAUUAUUUCUUCUAGUGACGAAAAUUGCGACGAUGAUAUAGAAAUGGAAAAAUUUCCUUCGCCUCCAAAACAGGUGAAAGUAUUACACAAUUAAAAAUACUGAUAGCAAAAUCAAACAAUUUUAUAAACAGAUGCUUCGCUGAAACAAAAAUAGAUAUUCAUAAAAUAUUAGAAAACCAAGAAAAUAUUUUAGUUCGACUCUCUGCGCUGGAAGGCCAUAAUUUUGCAUCUGUUAUACAUAAUAACUGUUUCAUCUUUUCCUUUAAAAAAUGAAGAUGAUCUACAAAAUUUAGAAGAUAAUCUUCUUCUACAAGAUUUUCGAUCUGCUUUGAUAGAGCAGUUGAGAAAAAUAGGAGGCCGUAAUGUCAAGGACACCGUUUAUAAUUUGAUGAAAGAAGUAUUUACUAAUGAUUUAGCAGCACGAUUUUCAUGGCUUGGUCUUAAAAAGAAAAAAGAAGUUAUGUAUUCUUCGUCUGUCAAACAUUCUUAUAAAAGUCGUCCAUUUGAACCACACCACCACGAAAAAAGAUAUAAUAGAGCAUAUAAAGGCAUGGGUGAGACAUGCACCUAUGAGAUGUGUUAGAGAGAUUAAUAGAAACACAGCCACACGAGAAGAUACUAUAGAGACAACUAAUGACAGUUAAGUACAUUAAUAUAUACUUAAACAUUAAUGAGUAUAAUUUUUUUAUAUCUAUUCGCUAUUGAUUUCUUUUUUAUUAACUUUUUCGAUAUUUUUCAUUGGCACUAUUUUUCAUUCUUAUACACACACAUUCUACACAUACAGACACAAAAAUACUCACAUAUAUUGCUAAACCUUACUUGUUUUUUAUAAAUCCAAAUAUUAUAAACGUAUUAUUUAAUGUUCCUUAAAUUUUAAUGUUUUUAUAGUGCAUUAUUACUUUUAUGUUGGUUAUUCAUGUUGCUCAAGAAUUUGUUUGACGUUAAUGCACACAAUAUUAUAAUAUAUCAACGUUAAUAUAUGUAUAAAACCAAUAUUAUUAGAAUUAUGUUAUAUUUAUA